rnacentral:lncRNA from 1 species
AGGCUGAACUCUGGUUCUGAGAGGAAAGGCACUCCAGGGUUUUGGAGUGGGCCACCUGAACUUGACCCUCAGGGCAGGAAGUGGGAGAAGCUGAGAAGGUGAAGCCGCUAAUGAUGUAACUUGCAGAUCCCUGCUGGAUCAACUCAUUUCUCUGUGCAGAAGAUCAGCCACUGUUCAAGGAAUAUAGAGCCCCACUCAGGGCCAAGGAGAGGCUCCAGAAAAAUCACAAACACAAGAAUGUGUGUGAGGUACUGGAUAAAGCUGAGCAUGCUGUCCCAGGCAUGGGGCCUUCUCACCGGUUCUCUGAAGCCACCCCCUCCUUUAUGCCUUGAGGCUGCUUGCUGAUGCCAGGAGUAAAAGAAAUGACUCCUGCCCCUCUGUCUGUGUCUCUCUGUCUCUCUGUCUGUGUCCACCCUCCCCCCCCACCCCCCAAAUCUGUCUUCUCCUGGCAGCUGCAGAGAUUUAUAAUUUACCUGCCUUGUUGUUUCUCUCUUACACUCUAAUAAAACUCAAGCUUCC